GACGAACGCUGGCGGCGUGCUUAACACAUGCAAGUCGAACGGAAAGGCCUGCUUUCCCUUGUGGAUUGCGGGUACUCGGGUGGCGAACGGGUGAGUAACACGUGAGUGAUCUGCCCCCAACUUGGGUAUAAGCCUGGGAAACUGGGUCUAAUUCCCGAUAGGACUGCAGGGUGGUGCCUGUGGUGGAAAACGAUUUUCUAGUGGUUGGGGAUGAGCUCGCGGCCUAUCAGCUUGUUGGUGGGGUAAUGGCCUACCAAGGCGGCGACAGGUAGCCGGCCUGAGGGGGUGGACGGCCAGAUUGGGACUGAGAUACGGCCCAGAAUCCUACGGAGGGCAGCAGAGGGGAAUAUUGCACACUGGGCGGAAGCCUGAUGCAGCGACGCCGCGUGGGGGAUGACGGCCUUCGGGUUGUAAACUCCUUUCGACCGCGAGGAAGCCACCUGGUUGGAAGGGUGGUGACGGUAGUGGUAGAAGAAGCACCGGCUAACUACGUG
rnacentral:rRNA from 1 species